rnacentral:rRNA from 1 species
UACAGAGGUGGCAAGCGUUGUUCGGAAUUACUGGGCGUAAUGCGCGCGCAGGCGGUCUUUCAAGUCAGUGGUGAAAGCCUGGAGCUCAACUCCAGAACUGCCAUUGAAACUGCAAGACUUGAGUACGAGAGAGGUGAGUGGAAUUCCCAGUGUAGAGGUGAAAUUCGUAGAUAUUGGGAAGAACACCGGUGGCGAAGGCGGCUCACUGGCUCGUAACUGACGCUCAGGCGCGACAGCGUGGGGAUCAAACAGG